rnacentral:rRNA from 1 species
AAUGAACGUUGGCGGCGUGGAUUAGGCAUGCAAGUCGUACGGACAAGGGGAGCUUGCUCCCUGAGUUAGUGGCGGAAGGGAUAGUAAUGUAUAGAUAACCUACCCUCAGGUCGAGGAUAGCGGUGGGAAACUGCCGGUAAUACUCGAUAAUAUCUCCGGAUCAAAGGUGUGAUUCCGCCGGAGGAUGGGUCUAUAUCCUACUAGCUAGUUGGUAAGGUAAUGGCUUACCAAGGCUUAGAUGGGUACCGGGCGUGAGAGCGUGACCCGGAUCACUGGGACUGAGACACUGCCCAGACACCUACGGGUGGCUGCAGUCGAGAAUCUUCGGCAAUGGACGAAAGUCUGACCGAGCGACGCCGCGUGUGUGAUGAAGGCCUUCGGGUUGUAAAGCACUUUCGUUUGGGAGGAAAUGUAUGAGGGCAAUCCCUUGUGCUUGACCUAUCUUAGGAAGAAGCUCGGGCUAAGUUCGUGCCAGCCGCCGCCGUAAGAC